rnacentral:rRNA from 1 species
AUUGAACGCUGGCGGCAGGCCUAACACAUGCAAGUCGAACGAGUGGCGGACGGGUGAGUAAUGUCUGGGAAACUGCCCGAUGGAGGGGGGUAACUACUGGAAACGGUAGCUAAUACCGCAUACCAUCGGAUGUGCACAGAUGGGCUUGGCUAGUAGGUGGGGUAACGGCUCACCUGGGCGACGAUCCCUAGCUGGUCUGAGGGGAUGACCAGCCACACUGGAAUUGAGACACGGUCCAGACUCCUACGGGAGGCAGCAGUGGGGAAUAUUGCACAAUGGGCGCAAGCCUGAUGCAGCCAGGCCGGGUGUAUGAAGAAGGCCUUAGGGUUGUAAAGUACUUUCAGCGAGGAGGCGUUACUCGCAGAAGAAGCACCGGCUAACUCCGUGCCAGCAGCCGCGGUAAUUC